UGCGUAGGCGGUCAUGUAGGCGUCCUGCGAAAUCCCACGGCUCAACCGUGGAAUUGCGGGGCGAACCACACGACUUGAACCUGGUAGGGGCUGUCGGAACGAUCGGUGGAGCGGUGAAAUGCGUAGAUAUCGAUCGGAACGCCGAAGGUGAAGACGGGCAGCUGGGCCAGUGUUGACGCUGAGGCACGAAAGCGUGGGGAUCAAACA
rnacentral:rRNA from 1 species